UACGGAGGAUGCGAGCGUUAUCCGGAUUUAUUGGGUUUAAAGGGCGCGUAGGCGGACUGUCAAGUCAGCGGUAAAAUUGAGAGGCUCAACCUCUUCCCGCCGUUGAAACUGGUGGUCUUGAGUGGAUGAGAAGUACGCGGAAUGCGUGGUGUAGCGGUGAAAUGCAUAGAUAUCACGCAGAACACCGAUUGCGAAGGCAGCGUACCGGCAUCCAACUGACGCUGAGGCACGAAAGCGUGGGGAUCAAACAGG
rnacentral:rRNA from 1 species